UGCUCUGGGAUUCCAGAGCUGGUGGUGUAUGUAGCUCCUGGCAUUUCCAUGCACCCGCCCAGGCUGUAAACAUUCUUAGGAAUGUGCGUCUGUGAUUCCGGAGUGCUUCCUCUAGAUGUGAUUCCGGGUGUCAGAGUUCCAACUGCCAGAGGAAUCGGAGAGGGAAGGAAGAUGCUCAGCGGGCAGAGAGGAGGCAUCAGCUGUUGGCAGAACUAACCAACCCAAGAAUCAGAGCAGAUCAGGUUCCAUCUAAAGGCUAAAUAGGAAACUGUGAGAGGACCUUUCAUCACAAGAAACUCCAUGUGUCAGCUUGACAGCCAUCAGCUGUGGAUUCUGCUCCCUGGAAGGAUCGGUACUGAGGAGGGAUGCUGGGAUGAAUGUCGACUGACAGCUUCAAAUGGGUCCAUUUAGACACAUCUUUGCCGUAUCUCAUUGUGACAAGUAAAUGCACUCUGUGGACAACUAAAGGACCAUUACAGUCAACUGUUGGGCCAAACACGUGUGCUUAAAGUGUUGCACUGUCAAGAACAGAACUGCUCCCUGUACCUGUUGCUGGCUCUAUCACUCGUGUGGGUUUCAAUGCAAAAGAUGGAGCAUUUGAUGUGGCAAAAGUAAUUGUAGCUGAUUACAAUUGCUUCUAACUGAACUGUCAAUACGUCAUCACAUGACCAACUUGCCAAUGUUUCCUAGCCCCAAAAGAACUACUGA